UACAGAGGCCACGAGCGUUAGGCGGAAUCACUGGGCUUAAAGCGUGUGUAGGUGGAUGGGUAAGUACCUUGUGAAAUCCCACGGCUCAACCGUGGAACUGCUUGGUAUACUGCCUGUCUUGAGGCACUCAGGGGCGAGCGGAACAGAUGGUGGAGCGGUGAAAUGCGUAGAUAUCAUCUGGAACGCCAAUGGUGAAGACAGCUCGCUGGGGGUGCACUGACACUGAGACACGAAAGCCAGGGGAGCAAACGGG
rnacentral:rRNA from 1 species